CUGGCACUUUUCACAGGUCCUUCCCCAGGCAGUGGGGCCAGGAUUUGGUAGCUGGUGCUGAGAGAAAACCCUUGAUUGUAUUCUUGCCCUGGGAUUAUACCAGUGGCAACUGUCACUCAGUGGGACAGAG
ensembl:snoRNA SNORA30 small nucleolar RNA, H/ACA box 30